GGAGUCUCGGAUGUGAUCGUCGCCUGUGCUCGCGUGAGGCCUUGACGAGCCGAAACCGCCGCGCCGCCGCCUGCGGCUCUACGCUGCACAUACACCUCGCCUCUAGCGAUCAGCCUCGACCUGCACUGAGCACGCCGGCCGGCCGGCCGGCCUGCCAUCCCCAAGGAAGAAGCCGUACCAAUCAAUUAUUCAAUCAAGCUUGAAGGCUAGAAAAUCAGGGACGUACCAACAAAAAGGAACGGCAUAUUCAAGCUAUUCUGCCUUAACUGGUAAUGCAGAGCUCAGUUAUUCAAAAACGAGUGGUUCCACGAUACAAUGGCCAAGACAACGAAAAAUAAAAUGGUACAACACACAUGACAAUGUGCCUGACAAGGAAAAAGACAUCACAAGACAGCACGGCAUGAAAAUCAUCAGCUGAGCAGAUCAACAACUAUUUUCUUCGGCGAAGAAAAGAUCAACACCUAUUAUGCUCAUCUUUACAUGCUAUCUCUCUUGUGAGCCAAUAUUAUAUAUUUCACACCACCACCAAGAAAAGUGGGUGAAAACAUAUGGCCUAAGUAAACUCAUUUGGAAUCAUAUAGGGGUGGAUUAACGAGCUGCUCGGCUCGUUAAGCUCGUACUCGUUAAGCUCGUACUCGUUAAGACUCGUACUC